UACGGAGGGGGCUAGCGUUGUUCGGAAUUACUGGGCGUAAAGCGCACGUAGGUGGCUUUGUAAGUUAGAGGUGAAAAGCCCGGGGCUCAACCCCGGAAUUGCCUUUAAGACUGCAUCGCUAGAACGUCGGAGAGGUGAGUGGAAUUCCGAGUGUAGAGGUGAAAUUCGUAGAUAUUCGGAAGAACACCAGUGGCGAAGGCGACUCACUGGACGAC
rnacentral:rRNA from 1 species